rnacentral:lncRNA from 1 species
AAAAAAAAAAAAAAAAAAAAAGAAAAUUUUAAAUAAGGAAAUGAGGGGGGGAUCUAAAAAAAAAAAGGAAAGAAAAAAGUGGCAAUUUGUGAGAUAAUCGAAGAACUUUCCCCCUCCUCCCCCCCCAUCCCGUUUGUUUGUUGGAGUGGUGCCAGGUGCUGGUUUUUGGAGAACUCGGCUACAACCAGGGAUUGAUUUUAAAAGAUGUCUCUUCCCCCUCUACCCCCCACCCCCUUUAUUUUUUUAUUUUGCGCCCUCCCAUCAGAUCCCAUCUCCAAUCAUUCUGUUCCCACCAUUCCAACCAGCGGAGGAGAGCUCGAACAGCCUCCCUCUGCCUUGUUCCUUUUUUUUUUUCUUUUUUUUUUUUUUUUUUUUUCCCUCUCUUCUUUUAUUCAGCUGUCUUAUCAUUUUAAUUUUGGCUUGUAUGUACUCUAGUCACCCUGGUUUUUCUCUCUAGCUCUAGAAAUGUAUUGACAUAUGCUAUAAUGGACAUGGGAUAAAAUAAAUUUGAUGUAAAAUGAGAUCCUCCA